AGGAAUUGGCGGGGGAGCACCGCAACGGGAGGAGCGUGCGGUUUAAUUGGAUUCAACACCGGAAAACUCACCAAGGGAGACCAUCACAUGAAAGCCAGGCUAAUGACUUUGCUUGAUUCUUGGAGAAGUGGUGCAUGGCCAUCGUCAGUUCGUACUGUAAAGCGUUCUCUUAAGUGAGAUAACGAACAAGACCCUCACUUAUAAUUGCUACUCGUCUGUCCGCAGACGAGGCACAUUAUCGGGACCGCUGGCGCUAAGUCAGAGGAAGGAGAGGUCAACGGUAGGUCAGUAUGCCCUGAAUCUCUUGGGCUACACGCGCGCUACAAAGGGCGGGACAACGGGUCCCUACACCGAAAGGUGGAGGCAAUCUCGAAACCCGUCCGUAGUUCGGACUGAGGGUUGUAACUCACCCUCACGAAGCUGGAUUCCGUAGUAAUCGCGAAUCAACAACUCGCGGUGAAUAUGCCCCUGCUCCUUGCACACACCGC
rnacentral:rRNA from 1 species